rnacentral:rRNA from 1 species
CUACGGGGGGCUCCAGUAGGGAAUCUUAGACAAUGGGGGAAACCCUGAUCUAGCCAUGCCGCGUGAGUGAUGAAGGCCUUAGGGUUGUAAAGCUCUUUCGCUGGGGAAGAUAAUGACGGUACCCAGUAAAGAAACCCCGGCUAACUCCGUGCCAGCAGCCGCGGUAAUACGGAGGGGGUUAGCGUUGUUCGGAAUUACUGGGCGUAAAGCGCGCGUAGGCGGGCUAUUAAGUCAGGGGUGAAAUCCCGGGGCUCAACCCCGGAACUGCCUUUGAUACUGGUAGUCUUGAGUUCGAGAGAGGUGAGUGGAAUUCCGAGUGUAGAGGUGAAAUUCGUAGAUAUUCGGAGGAACAUCAGUGGCGAAGGCGACUCACUGGCUCGAUACUGACGCUGAGGUGCGAAAGUGUGGGGAGCAAACAGGAUUAGAUACCCCGGUAGUC